rnacentral:rRNA from 1 species
UACGUAGGGAGCAAGCGUUGUCCGGAAUCAUUGGGCGUAAAGCGCGCGUAGGCGGCCCUGUAAGUCCGUUGUGAAAGUCAAAGGCUCAACCUUUGAAAGCCGAUGGAUACUGCAGGGCUAGAGUCCGGAAGAGGCGAGUGGAAUUCCUGGUGUAGCGGUGGAAUGCGCAGAUAUCAGGAGGAACACCAAUAGCGAAGGCAGCUCGCUGGGACGGUACUGACGCUGAGAAGCGAAAGCAUGGGGAGCGAACAGG